UGGGGAAUCUUGCGCAAUGGGCGAAAGCCUGACGCAGCCAUGCCGCGUGAGUGACGAAGGUCUUCGGAUUGUAAAACUCUUUUGGCGGGGACGAUAAUGACGGUACCCGCAGAAUAAGCCCCGGCUAACUUCGUGCCAGCAGCCGCGGUAAUACGAAGGGGGCUAGCGUUGUUCGGAAUCACUGGGCGUAAAGCGCACGUAGGCGGAUGUGCCAGUCAGGGGUGAAAUCCCGGAGCUCAACUCCGGAACUGCCUCUGAUACUGCACGUCUUGAGUUCGAGAGAGGUGGGUGGAAUUCCUAGUGUAGAGGUGAAAUUCGUAGAUAUUAGGAAGAACACCGGUGGCGAAGGCGGCCCACUGGAUCGGUACUGACGCUGAGGUGCGAAAGCGUGGGGAGCAAACAGGAUUAGAUACCCGCGUAGUCCCUGAGCGGGCUGGCAAGGCGCAU
rnacentral:rRNA from 1 species